rnacentral:lncRNA from 1 species
GCGAUGGGGAAGCAUUCCACGUUGAUAAACCUAAUGGGCAGUGUGUGGAGAAUGCUCGAGUAGCCAACCUCCCCCCCUUCGCCAGAGCCGUAAUUGGGAUAGAUCGCUGACAGAAGGGAGAAGGCGGGGCUGGGCACGGGGGAGGGCAUGGGAAGGUGCAAGGCUAGAAACAAAAGGUGUUCUCCUUCUGAAGGACAGGCUACAAUCUCCCUGGAUUCAUCUCUUAAGUGAUACUCUGAACCUGUUCUAUUUAAUCUGCCCGUCUACAGCGAUUGCGGAGUGAAGAAAGGAAAGGAAUCCAUCACGGCCUUUGCGUUUCUCUCUCUUUUAUGAAGGGACGGUGUGACGGUUCACUUACGAAGAGCCCGACGUCCAGCCGCACCGGGUUCAUUGACCCUGCUUGAUCUCCCCUCUGCGGCGAAUCAUCCCGGAGCCCCGGCUCUCGCUUCGCAGGAUACUGAGAACCAGGCAGGUGUGACGCAGUGCUGAGCAAACAAUGGGCUGUAAUGCGUUAUCUUCUGGAACUUUGCUGCCCUCCUACGUAACAGCAUCCUGUGGUCCAUGGCAGAAGAUAUAUGACGUGUAUUGAGAAAAAGGUAAUGAGGUUGAAGAAGCCUCCUGUCGAGGUAGUGACCAUGACCCACAGUAGACUCCUCCACCUCCCAACUGGUGGUCCAGUACGGCCCCAGGCUCGUUUGUCACGGCGCUGUCGAUGGAAGUCACUUGCCUGAUACUGACUGCAUCUGUGAACGAGAAGGACUCCAUGCAAGAAAGAUGAACUUCCAGAUCCUCCAUCGCAACAUCUGCCCGAAGGAGAACAGCCGAGCCGGUUUUGCCACAAACGGGGAAGUCACGCAGACGCACCGGUGUGUUACAUGGCUCACCGCCGAGGGCGCGGUGCCUUCCACCCGGACGCUGCUGCUCUCUGUCAGGACCCAUGCUGCCGUCAGCCUGCUCUGCUCCUCAGUCGCCCCGGCGAUCAGCACUUUGCCGGACGGCGCAUCGCCGGAGUUUGCCUGCUGGUCGGCUGAGCUGAGCAACAGCCCCCGUUGCGCUCCGCAUCGCAGGUUUGCCCUCUCAAAAACAAAAACGGCAGGAGCGACAAAACACCUGGCAGAGCGCUCAUUGCAGCUUUAA